rnacentral:rRNA from 1 species
AGUGAACGCUGGCGGUAGGCCUAACACAUGCAAGUCGAACGGCAGCACAGUAAGAGCUUGCUCUUACGGGUGGCGAGUGGCGGACGGGUGAGGAAUACAUCGGAAUCUACUUUUUCGUGGGGGAUAACGUAGGGAAACUUACGCUAAUACCGCAUACGACCUACGGGUGAAAGCAGGGGAUCUUCGGACCUUGCGCGAUUGAAUGAGCCGAUGUCGGAUUAGCUAGUUGGCGGGGUAAAGGCCCACCAAGGCGACGAUCCGUAGCUGGUCUGAGAGGAUGAUCAGCCACACGGGAACUGAGACACGGUCCAGACUCCUACGGGAGGCAGCGGUGGGGAAUAUUGGACAAUGGGCGCAAGCCUGAUCCAGCCAUACCGCGUGGGUGAAGAAGGCCUUCGGGUUGUAAAGCCCUUUUGUUGGGAAAGAAAAGCAGCAGGUUAAUACCCCGCUGUUCUGACGGUACCCAAAGAAUAAGCACCGGCUAACUUCGUG